rnacentral:rRNA from 1 species
UGGGGAAUAUUGCACAAUGGGCGAAAGCCUGACGCAGCGACGCCGCGUGAGGGAUGACGGCCUUCGGGUUGUAAACCUCUUUCAGCAGGGACGAAGCGCAAGUGACGGUACCUGCAGAAGAAGCACCGGCUAACUACGUGCCAGCAGCCGCGGUAAUACGUAGGGUGCAAGCGUUGUCCGGAAUUACUGGGCGUAAAGAGUUCGUAGGCGGUUUGUCGCGUCGUUUGUGAAAACCAGCAGCUCAACUGCUGGCUUGCAGGCGAUACGGGCAGACUUGAGUACUGCAGGGGAGACUGGAAUUCCUGGUGUAGCGGUGAAAUGCGCAGAUAUCAGGAGGAACACCGGUGGCGAAGGCGGGUCUCUGGGCAGUAACUGACGCUGAGGAACGAAAGCGUGGGUAGCGAACAGG